rnacentral:rRNA from 1 species
GGGGAAUAUUGGACAAUGGGCGAAAGCCUGAUCCAGCAAUGCCGCGUGAGUGAUGAAGGCCUUAGGGUUGUAAAGCUCUUUUACCCGGGAUGAUAAUGACAGUACCGGGAGAAUAAGCCCCGGCUAACUCCGUGCCAGCAGCCGCGGUAAUACGGAGGGGGCUAGCGUUGUUCGGAAUUACUGGGCGUAAAGGGCGCGUAGGCGGCCCUCUAAGUCAGACGUGAAAUCCCUCGGCUCAACCGGGGAACUGCGUCUGAGACUGAAAGGCUUGAAUUCGGGAGAGGGAUGUGGAAUUCCAGGUGUAGCGGUGAAAUGCGUAGAUAUCUGGAGGAACACCGGUGGCGAAGGCGGCAUCCUGGACCGAGAUUGACGCUGAUGCGCGAAAGCCAGGGGAGCAAA